rnacentral:rRNA from 1 species
CUGAAUGGGGAAACCCACCACUUUAUGUGGUACUUUAAACUGAAUAAAUAGGUUUAAAGAGACAACCUGGAGAACUGAAACAUCUAAGUAACCAGAGGAAAAGAAAUCAAUUGAGAUUCCGUUAGUAGUGGCGAGCGAACGCGGACUAGGCCAGUAGUUUUGUUAAAAAAAUUUGAAUAGUUUGGAAAUGCUAACCAUAGAGGGUGAUAGUCCCGUAUGAGUAAUGUUUGACAAAAUUCUUGAGUAAAGCGGGACACGUGAAAUCCUGCUCGAAUAUAGGGGGACCACCCUCUAAGCCUAAAUACUCUUCAGGACCGA